rnacentral:misc_RNA from 1 species
CAUUUAAAUGCUUUUUUUUUAUAAGCUACCUAUCGAGACAAUUUGGAUUUAAAAAUACAAAAAAGAUUUCCUAAACCCGGCUUGAUUGCAGACCUACUAUAUGCUAGAUCCAUAUCUUGAGUAAGUUUUCCUAGCGAGAAAGAUACAUCUACCGGUAGUUCAAGUAUGGUAUUUUUAUGGAAUUUUUGUUUAGCUCUUUUUUACGUUUGAGAUACGUGGACUUCGAUAUUUGGAGAAUUAUACGUCAGUCUCCAAAUCGACCAGGGCACCCCCUUCAAUAUUUAUAAUCUUACAGAGAAGCAUUACUAAAAAUUAGUAUAUGUUUGUGAAAUUCUGUGAAAAACUAUUCAUCGAGUUUCAUUUCAAUUUUUCUAAGAAGUUGAUUUAUUAUUUUUUGUAGAUGGUUGUAAUUUUUCAUAUUUCAUUGUUCAAUGUUUUGAACUACCAAAACUGUGUAAAGAAGAACAACGAUUUCCUCCGAAAAACAACGAUUAUUUAGGAUUUUUUAUUUGUGCGCGUUUUCAUAGAAUAUUGCAAAAUUAUUUUCAUCAGGAAGAUCUCAAUCUAAGUUAGGCAAUAUCUUCACGAGCACUAAUCAUCUGAGAAUUUACCACAAGUAACGUGAAGAGAACUCCUACAGAGAAAUCCUGCAUGCAGACAAAUGGACCAGAUUUUAGACACGGAAUGUUUAUAGAAAAUGUUAAUGUUUCCAGAGAAUCUCACCUCAAUCUUCACUGUGGUACUUAUAGUGAUUAAUUUUUGUAUGGUUCUUAGGAAAUGUAAUGUGGGAGAGUCACUGUUCGAUGAGGGAUAACUUUGGAUCAUCUUGUUCUCAAAUUGAACGCAUAAUGAGUAUGAUACAAAAUAUUCCCGGCGUUUACGGAGCCAGAAUUGUCGGUAGAGAUUUUGGCACCAUUGUUCUUGCCUUGGCACGCUGUAAGAACGAUGGUGAAUGCUUUGCGCAGUGGUGACCAAUGUCAAGAGUAUCAAGUUGUAAAACCGUCGUCCGGUUCCGGAAUUUUAUACGCAGACACAAACGAACAGCUUUUGCCAAUUGUAAGCAACAAGAAGCGACUCAGAAAAUCUCAUAGAAACAAUUUAUUUGUAGGGGAUUAUAAUGAUUAUCACCAACAGUAUGAUACUAUUUACGGUGUCAGAGAUGAGAAAACUUUUACACCUGUGAAAGAAAUUUACACAAAAUAUUAAUAUCAAAUGUGGUUGAAACAAAAUUUUCGUCGCAUGAUAUUUUUGUGCCAAAAUUACCUGUUCCAACAAAUACAGAUAUCAUAACAGGUAAAAAUAGAACACGACGUAAUCUGUAUA